rnacentral:tRNA from 1 species
GCGGCGGUAGCCAAGCCAGGUCAAUAAAAUGGUUUGUUGGCUAGAGGCGAAGGACUCAAGAUCCUUUCCCGUAGGGGUUCGCCGGUUCGAAUCCGGCCCGCCGCACCA